rnacentral:misc_RNA from 1 species
UUGUGGAGGAGGACGCCGAAGGUGGGGCUAAUGACUGGGGUGAAGUCGUAACAAGGUAGCCGUACCGGAAGGUGCGGCUGGAUCACCUCCUAACAGGGAGACAACAAAAUGUAAAUAUUAAUUUUGUCACCUUAGGUCGAUCGGUAUCUCAGAUUCUUAUUUUUUAAGAAUUUCAGUUUCUAAGUUUUUUCUAGGUCACACCCAUCACUUUUUCCUGGGCCAUUAGCUCAGGUGGUUAGAGCGCACCCCUGAUAAGGGUGAGGUCCCUGGUUCAAGUCCAGGAUGGCCCAUAUCUCUAUGUUGGGGGUAUAGCUCAGUUGGUAGAGCGCCUGCUUUGCAAGCAGGAUGUCAGCGGUUCGAGUCCGCUUACCUCCACUGAUUACCACCUCUUCCAUAUCUUUACAGAGGGGAAAUGUUUUGAGUUGUGAUCAAAUUCUGAACGAAUCUAGCUUCCUAAUUAUUUUUAAUUAAGAUGCUGGACUCAUUGAAUUGAUUUCAAUGUUUUCAGAGAACCUUGACAACUGCAUAGAUUAUUUUUAUAGACAAUUAGCAUCUUUAAUGAUGCAGAUUUAUUAUUUGUGCGAAUGCAUUAAUAACAAUUCUAUUAAGCUGAUGCUUCAAUUUUGAAGUUAUUGGUCAAGCUACAA